rnacentral:rRNA from 1 species
UCUUUUUAUUGUGUGCCAGCAGCCGCGGUAAUACGGAGGAUGCGAGCGUUAUCCGGAUUUAUUGGGUUUAAAGGGAGCGCAGACGGGUCGUUAAGUCAGCUGUGAAAGUUUGGGGCUCAACCUUAAAAUUGCAGUUGAUACUGGCGUCCUUGAGUGCGGUUGAGGUGUGCGGAAUUCGUGGUGUAGCGGUGAAAUGCUUAGAUAUCACGAAGAACUCCGAUUGCGAAGGCAGCACACUAAUCCGUAACUGACGUUCAUGCUCGAAAGUGUGGGUAUCAAACAGG